rnacentral:lncRNA from 1 species
AGGUACUGCCUUUGGGCAGGCGCACUAGGGUGCUAAUACCUUCCUUACGCGUAACCGAUUCCCGAACCUAAAAAUCUGUUUUCGUAGACCAUACUUUUAUUUUAGGUUUUUCCAUAGUUUUCCAUAAUAAAUUAUGGUGGCGACUCCCAAAAUAUUUUCUAAAACUCGUUUGUUUUUCGGUUUGCCGUCCCGUCGCGAUCCCGGUUGCGACAGACAUUCUUAUGUAAAAAUGUAAUUUUGAGAUUUCCAAACAAUAUUCAUGGUUAUGAAAAAAAGAUUGUUAAUAUUUCAUAGGUGUUUUGUAGAAAUGUUUUGAAAAAAAUAGCACCAUGAUAUCUCAAAAAAAUUUGAGAUGUUACAAGAAACCUAAAUAUUUACUAGGUAGUUGUACCUACUUUUUCACCUACAUAUAUUACUUUAAUUUAUUAUUUAAGUUGUAAAUAAUUUAUAUUUAAAAUAUUAAAAUACAUUAUUUGUUGUAAUUAAUUUUUUUAUUUGAAGUAAAAUAUUUAUAAUUAUAUUUCAAUUUUUUACGAUUUUUCUUUAUUAAAAAACAAUUGUUUAGUAAAUUAAAAUGAAUUAAAGAAAAUAUAAAAUGGAAAAGUGAAGUUGUAGGUGGGUGCACGACUUUAAUAGUUGAAGUCGUGUACCCUCCUACAACUUCAAUUUUCAAUUUUUUAUUUUCUUUAAUUCAUUUUAAUUUGUUAAAAAUAUGUUUUUAAUUAAGAAAAUUGAUAAAAAAUUACUUCAUGAAGAAAAAAUUAACGAAAAAAAUAAUACAACUUCUAAAACAUAAAUAAUUUAUUUUUCCAAAUAUAUUUUAAUUUGUUUUUAUUUUUUUUUAUAUUUUGUUAAUUUAGGUUUUUAUAACAAAAAAAUUGAAAAAAUUUUAUUUAUUUAAGACAAAAUUAAUAUGAAAUAAUAAAAAAUAGUAUAACAAAAAUACAUUUUAUUUUCAAUAUAUUUCAAUUUUUUAUGAUUUUUCUUUAUUAAAAAAUAAAGUAAACUAAAUUAAUUAAAGAAAAUAAAAAAUAGAAAAGUGAAGUUGAAGAGGGUGCACGACUUUAAUAGUUGAAGUCUUGCACCUCCUACAACUUCACUUUUCCAUUUUUUAUUUUCUUUAAUUCAUUUUAAUUCGUUAAAAAUAUGAUUUUAAUUAAUAAAAAUUGAUAAAAUAUUACAUUAUGAAGAUAAAAUUAACAAAAAAAUAAUAAAACUUUUAAAACAAAUAAUUUUUUUUCCAAAUAUAUUUUAUUAUUAUUUUUUUUUAUUUUUAUUUAGUUAAUAUUAGCUUUUUAUAAACAAAAAAACUAAAAAAAAUUUCAUUUCUUUAAAAAAAAAUUAAUAUGAAAUAAAAAAAAAAUUAUAUAACACAAAUGCAUUUUAUUUUCAAUAUAUUUCAAUUUUUUAAAAUUUUUUUAUUAAAAAACAAUUUUUAGUAAAUUAAAAUGAAUUAAAGAAAAUAAAAAAUUGAAAAGUGAAGUUGUAGGGGGUGCACGACUUUAAUAGUUGAAGUCGUGCAGCCUCCUACAACUUCACUUUUUCAUUUUUUAUUUUCUUUAAUUCAUUUUAAUUUGUUAAAAUUAUGUUUUUAAUUAAAAAAGUUGAUAAAAAUUAGUUUAUGAAGAAAAAAUUAAUAAAAAAAUUAUACAACUUCUAAAACAUAAAUUUUUUUUUUCAAGUCAAACUUCGUCAAAUGAAACUAUAUCUAAAAAUGAAAGAUAAUUGUCAAAUUUAAUAAACAUGCCUACAACCAUGCCUGUAACCAUGCAUAUAAAGCUAUACUGAGCUGCUGGUGUCAACACCAUGCAUGCAAAACUAUACUAACUGACCUUUCCUGCAGAAACUGAACUUCACAAAUCGUAUUUCAUAUUAUUAUUAUAUAUGUAUAUACAUAUGUAUGUAUAUAUACAUAUGUAUGUAUAUGUAUACAUAUGUAUGUAUAGAUAUACAUAUGUAUGUAUAGAUAUACAUAUCUAUGUAUAGAUAUGCAUAUCUAUGUAUAGAUAUACUUAUCUAUGUAUAUACAUAUACAUAUAUAUGCAUAUACAUAUACAUAUAUAUAUAUNUUUCCAUAAUAAAUUAUGGUGGCGACUCCCAAAAUAUUUUCUAAAACUCGUUUGUUUUUCGGUUUGCCGUCCCGUCGCGAUCCCGGUUGCGACAGCUGGCGACUCCACUGGGGACUGCAUAGAGAAUCAGGCCUUAUUAAUUAAAUGUUCNAAAUUGAUGUGGUUUUUCUUUUUUUUAUUUUAGUUUUAUUUUAUUUUAUUUUUAUUUUUUUAUUUUUCCUUUCUUUAUUAUAUGAUUGUCUUUAUUUAUUCUUGUAAUUCAUUUAUAUGCUUUUAUUCUCAUUAUUAUUACUGUACAUAUCAUGAGUGNGACCCUAUACCCGGGUNUGAGUGUAACAUAGAAUUAGAGGGGUUGUGUAGNGGUGUCACGUCUGGACUAAUUCCANUUUGGCUAUCGUGAAAACCCCAGCCAGUUGCUGUUCUCUUUACGUGCAAUUUCACACCUAGUUGCGAUCAACUGUUGUGGAAAAGCUGUGAAAAGGACCAUAGCUCUGGUGGCCUUGAUUUUAGGUUUAGGAAGNCUUCCCUGUGAGAUUGCAUAUACAAUGCUUAGACCUUAAGACAUUGGACCUACCUAAACACAUAAAACAUGUUGGCUUUUAAUCAUUAUUUGGCAUAUAUGUUUUCAUGCAUCAUAUGCAUUAGCAACAUUUUUAUCAUUUUUCCUUCAUUUUCUUUAUACAUAACAAUAAAU